rnacentral:rRNA from 1 species
GCGCGAAACCUUUACACUGCGGGAAACCGCGAUAAGGGGACACCGAGUGCCAGCAUACAAUGCUGGCUGUCCACAUGUGUAAAUAGCAUGUGAUAGCAAGGGCCGGGCAAGACCGGUGCCAGCCGCCGCGGUAACACCGGCGGCCCGAGUGGUAAUCACUAUUAUUGGGUCUAAAGGGUCCGUAGCCGGUUUAAUCAGUCUUCCGGGAAAUCUGACAGCUCAACUGUUAGGCUUCCGGGGGAUACUGUUAGACUUGGGACCGGGAGAGGUAAGAGGUACUACAGGGGUAGGAGUGAAAUCUUGUAAUCCCUGUGGGACCACCAGUGGCGAAGGCGUCUUACCAGAACGGGUCCGACGGUGAGGGACGAAAGCUGGGGGCACGAACCGGAUUAGAUACCCGGGUAGUCCCAGCCGUAAACGAUGCUCGCUAGGUGUCUGGAAUGGUGCGACGUUUCAGGUGCCGCAGGAAGCGUGAAGCGAGCCACCUGGAAGUACGGCGCAAGCUGAAACUUAAAGGAAUUGGCGGGGAGCACUACAACGGGUGGAGCCUGCGGUUUAAUUGGACUCAACGCCGGACAACUCACCGGGGGCGACAGCAAUAUGUAGGUCAAGCUAAAGACUUUACCUGAAUCGCUGAGAGGAGGUGCAUGGCCGUCGUCAGUUCGUACUGUGAAGCAUCCUGUUAAGUCAGGCAACGAGCGAGACCCGUGCCCACUGUUGCCAGCAUAUCUUCGGGAUGAUGGGUACUCUGUGGGGACCGCCGAUGCUAAAUCGGAGGAAGGUGCGGGCUACGGUAGGUCAGUAUGCCCCGAAUCUCCCGGGCGACACGCGGGCUACAAUGGUUGGGACAAUGGGCUCCUACACUGAAAAGUGACGGUAAUCUCAUAAACCCAGCCGUAGUUCGAAUUGAGGGCUGAAACCCGCCCUCAUGAAGCUGGAAUCCGUAGUAAUCGCGUUUCAAUAUAGCGCGGUGAAUACGUCCCUGCUCCU